UACAGAGGUCUCGAGCGUUAGGCGGAAUCACUGGGCUUAAAGCGUGUGUAGGCGGAUUGCUAAGUACCUUGUGAAAUCCCACGGCUUAACCGUGGAACUGCUUGGUAUACUGGCUGUCUUGAGCCACUUAGGGGCAACCGGAACAAACGGUGGAGCGGUGAAAUGCGUAGAUAUGCGGAGGAACACCGAUGGCGAAGGCAAUCCCCUGGACCUGUACUGACGCUCAUGCACGAAAGCGUGGGGAGCAAACAGG
rnacentral:rRNA from 1 species